UAGGGAAUCUUCGGCAAUGGGGGCAACCCUGACCGAGCAACGCCGCGUGAGUGAAGAAGGUUUUCGGAUCGUAAAGCUCUGUUGUAAGAGAAGAACGUGUGUGAGAGUGGAAAGUUCACACAGUGACGGUAACUUACCAGAAAGGGACGGCUAACUACGUGCCAGCAGCCGCGGUAAUACGUAGGUCCCGAGCGUUGUCCGGAUUUAUUGGGCGUAAAGCGAGCGCAGGCGGUUUAAUAAGUCUGAAGUUAAAGGCAGUGGCUUAACCAUUGUUCGCUUUGGAAACUGUUAAACUUGAGUGCAGAAGGGGAGAGUGGAAUUCCAUGUGUAGCGGUGACAUGCGUAGAUAUAUGGAGGAGCACCGGUGGCGAAAGCGGCUCUCUGGUCUGUAACUGACGCUGAGGCUCGAAAGCGUGGGGAGCAAACAGG
rnacentral:rRNA from 1 species